rnacentral:rRNA from 1 species
GAAUGCGAUCAUACCAGCACUAAAGCACCGGAUCCCAUCAGAACUCCGAAGUUAAGCGUGCUUGGGGGCGAGUAGUACUAGGAUGGGUGACCUCCUGGGAAGUCCUAGUGUUGCAUUCC